rnacentral:lncRNA from 1 species
CAAUAGAUAUAAUUCUAUAUUUAAAAGUUGAAUCAUAUCAUGUGUUAUCUCUUUCAAUGAACAAUGAAGUUAUUUCUUUGUAAUAUGUUUGUACUCUUAGAAAAAUUUACUCGUCAAUAAUUUUUUUCCAAUUAAGUCAUGAAAUAAUUCAUUUUAUUGUUUCCAAACACAAAAAAAGGAACAAAUAAAAAAAAGCACGUUCAAUUUUUUUUAUAUUCUACGUCGCCGUGAGUCAAGAACUGAAAUUUUUAUGGUCCUUGAUUAAUUUUUGUAAUUCUGAAGUUUGAAAAGGUUUCUAUGGGUUUUAUGAGGAAGAAAUUAAAGAUGUUGAUACCAUUUUUAUAUGAGCUACGAGCACUUGUUGAAUUUUGAAAAAGAGAUCUGAACUGUCCAAACAAGAAUUCUUAAACAUCAUGUUUUUCUUCAACUCAACAAAUCCGUUAGAAAGUUGUGUCAAAAUUUAAAGGGAAUCCCUAAUGUUCCUAUUAAAGAGUCCAUCCUCUGUACUCUGAUGUUAAAUACAAGGGCUUCUGUAAUUUUCAAAUUUCAAAUAGACGUGCUUGCACUUUGUAUGCGGUUUUCCUUUUUGCUUGUAAUGUUUUUGUUACGGUUAGGUAAAAUCGAAACUAGAAGCUAAUGCUAAUCAUCAUGUGAGGAACAGGCCA